CCCGCCGAAUUUAAGCAUAUAAUUCAGCGGAGGAAAAGAAAUCAAAUGAGAUUCCCUGAGUAACGGCGAGUGAAAAGGGAUGAGUCCGGCGCAAAGGUUUUCCAUUGAAAGGUGGAAAGCGGUGCUGCGUAAUGGCUAGAGUCACGAUUAUUUCAACUAAAUCUGCAAGUCCCUCUGACAAGGGCCCUCUUCCCAGAGACGGUUCUAGGCCGGUGGCAGAUCUUGGUUAAUGGAAUAUCGAUUACUGGCUUUAGUCGCGGAUAGAGUCAGAUUGCUUGAGAGUGCAAUCCAAAUUAGGAGGUAAACUCCUCCUAAGACUAAAUACGAUGGUAAUAUCGAUAGCAAACAAGUACCGUGAGGGAAAGUUGCAAAGUACUUUGAAGAGAGAGUUCAAAAGGACGUGAAACCGCUUGUAGAGAAACGGAUAGAACCACGAAGUGUAGCUGAGAGGAGAACUCAGCUUCUCUUGUGUAUUGUUGCCUUUUUCUAUUCAGUGCUAAGAAUGCUUUACAGCGUUCCAAGAUCAGUAGGUUAAGGGGUAACUUUUAGCCUGCCCUUGGAUCUUGGUAUUGAUAGGAGGAGUGCAAUAUGUGCAUGAGGAGUGCAUUUUCUCAACUCUCGUGCUCAAACCACGACCAAUGUGAAGGAGAGUGCAAAACUCUUGUUCAAGUGAUAACAGCAAGGUGUACUAAACACACACCUAAUCAGCAUUUAGUUUUCACAGCUACUAAUAUUCCUUGCGUUAUUAGACUUAGCCUGUGAGCUAGUGUUGGCAACUGUUACCACAGUCACAUUGGAGAUGAAUCUCUGCUUAUGCAGGGUCAACAAUGCUUGUCAUCUGCUCUGACGAAUCCGACUAGUCUUUCGUUGAUGAUGUCUGUUUCUUCACCUGGUGUUGAAACAACUCAUGGAUUGGCUGGCUUUUGGUGGUUUGUUGGUAAAAGUGGCAAGCUUACGUUAACCUAGUGAUUCUGUGGUCAGUAGAUCGGUACUCUAUCCGACCCGUCUUGAAACACGG
rnacentral:ncRNA from 1 species